AGAGUUUGAUCCUGGCUCAGGACGAACGCUGGCGGCGCGCCUAACACAUGCAAGUCGAACGAGCGAGAGAGAGCUUGCUUUCUCGAGCGAGUGGCGAACGGGUGAGUAACGCGUGAGGAACCUGCCUCAAAGAGGGGGACAACAGUUGGAAACGACUGCUAAUACCGCAUAAGCCCACGGCUCGGCAUCGAGCAGAGGGAAAAGGAGCAAUCCGCUUUGAGAUGGCCUCGCGUCCGAUUAGCUAGUUGGUGAGGUAACGGCCCACCAAGGCGACGAUCGGUAGCCGGACUGAGAGGUUGAACGGCCACAUUGGGACUGAGACACGGCCCAGACUCCUACGGGAGGCAGCAGUGGGGAAUAUUGCACAAUGGGGGAAACCCUGAUGCAGCGACGCCGCGUGGAGGAAGAAGGUCUUCGGAUUGUAAACUCCUGUUGUUGGGGAAGAUAAUGACGGUACCCAACAAGGAAGUGACGGCUAACUACGUGCCAGCAGCCGCGGUAAAACGUAGGUCACAAGCGUUGUCCGGAAUUACUGGGUGUAAAGGGAGCGCAGGCGGGAAGACAAGUUGGAAGUGAAAUCUAUGGGCUCAACCCAUAAACUGCUUUCAAAACUGUUUUUCUUGAGUAGUGCAGAGGUAGGCGGAAUUCCCGGUGUAGCGGUGGAAUGCGUAGAUAUCGGGAGGAACACCAGUGGCGAAGGCGGCCUACUGGGCACCAACUGACGCUGAGGCUCGAAAGUGUGGGUAGCAAACAGGAUUAGAUACCCUGGUAGUCCACACCGUAAACGAUGAUUACUAGGUGUUGGAGGAUUGACCCCUUCAGUGCCGCAGUUAACACAAUAAGUAAUCCACCUGGGGAGUACGACCGCAAGGUUGAAACUCAAAGGAAUUGACGGGGGCCCGCACAAGCAGUGGAGUAUGUGGUUUAAUUCGACGCAACGCGAAGAACCUUACCAAGUCUUGACAUCCCUUGACAGGCAUAGAAAUAUGUUUUCUCUUCGGAGCGAGGAGACAGGUGGUGCAUGGUUGUCGUCAGCUCGUGUCGUGAGAUGUUGGGUUAAGUCCCGCAGCGAGCGCAACCCUUAUGGUCAGUUACUACGCAAGAGGACUCUGGCCAGACUGCCGUUGACAAAACGGAGGAAGGUGGGGAUGACGUCAAAUCAUCAUGCCCUUUAUGACUUGGGCUACACACGUACUACAAUGGCGUUAAACAAAGAGAAGCAAGACCGCGAGGUGGAGCAAAACUCAGAAACAACGUCCCAGUUCGGACUGCAGGCUGCAACUCGCCUGCACGAAGUCGGAAUUGCUAGUAAUCGUGGAUCAGCAUGCCACGGUGAAUACGUUCCCGGGCCUUGCACACACCGCCCGUCA
rnacentral:rRNA from 1 species